AGCUCCAAUAGCGUAUAUUAAAGUUGUUGCAGUUAAAAAGCUCGUAGUUGGAUUUCUGGGAGGGUGCCGAUGUCCGCCGUUGGCGUGUGCAGAGGCGCCCUGCCAUCCUUCUGUUAACCUUUCUCGGGAUUCGUUUCCUGGUUGGGGGCUCAGAUAUUUUACCUUGAGAAAAUUAGAGUGUUUCAGGCAGGCUUGCGCCGGAAUACAUUAGCAUGGAAUAAUAGAAUAGGACUUUAGUCUCCUUUGUUGGUUUGAGGGACUGAAGUAAUGAUUAAUAGGGAUAGUCGGGGGCAUUAGUAUUUAAUUGUCAGAGGUGAAAUUCUCGGAUUUGUUAAAGACUAACUUAUGCGAAAGCAUUUGCCAAGGAUGUUUUCA
rnacentral:rRNA from 1 species